UACAGAGGGUACGAGCGUUGUUCGGAAUUACUGGGCGUAAAGCGCGCGCAGGCGGCUUUCUAAGUCCGUCGGUGAAAGACCGGGGCUCAACCCCGUGUCAGCCAUGGAUACUGGGAGGCUGGAGACAGGUAGAGGCAAGCGGAAUUCCGGGUGUAGCGGUGGAAUGCGUAGAUAUCCGGAAGAACACCGGAGGCGAAGGCGGCUUGCUGGACCUGGUCUGACGCUGAGGCGCGAAAGCGUGGGGAGCGAACAGG
rnacentral:rRNA from 1 species